GAGCGCCGGGCCUGCAUUGGCAGGUGACGAGGCGGAAGGUCAUCGAAAUUUUCGGCGGGUGCCUUCCCGGUUGUUGGUUCCACAAUCGUAGUCUGCUGACAAAACGGCCCUGUAAAGGGAAGGACAAAACAGC
rnacentral:ncRNA from 1 species